GGGGUUGUGGCUCAGCGGUAGAGCACUUGCUUCGCACAUGCAAGUCACUGGGUUCAAUCCUCGGCACCA
rnacentral:tRNA from 1 species